rnacentral:rRNA from 1 species
GACGAACGCUGGCGGCGUGCUUAACACAUGCAAGUCGAACGAUGAACCCGGAGCUUGCUCCGGCGGAUUAGUGGCGAACGGGUGAGUAACACGUGAGUAACCUGCCCUUGACUCUGGGAUAACUGCGGGAAACUGUAGCUAAUACCGGAUACGACCCUCGGCGGCAUCGCCAGGGGGUGGAAAGAAUUUCGGUCAAGGAUGGACUCGCGGCCUAUCAGCUAGUUGGUGAGGUAACGGCUCACCAAGGCGACGACGGGUAGCCGGCCUGAGAGGGUGACCGGCCACGCUGGGACUGAGACACGGCCCAGACUCCUACGGGAGGCAGCAGUGGGGAAUAUUGCACAAUGGGCGCAAGCCUGAUGCAGCAACACCGCGUGAGGGAUGACGGCCUUCGGGUUGUAAACCUCUUUUAGUAGGGGAGAAGCGAAAGUGACGGUACCUGCAGAAAAAGCACCGGCUAACUACGUGCCAGCCGCCGCAGUAA